UCGACUUCGUAUACAGAAGGACAAAGCCCGGUCUCUUCAGCCAUGUCACUAUGGACACUUUUGGAUGUCCUCCACAUUAGGGAUGAAAAAGGGACCAGUCAGAAAUUCUUAUGUGCAGCCAAAUGAAGUCUAGUCCUGCCUCUGGCUCCAAGGAAGUGUCUUUAGAUCCAUGAUGACACACAAGAAGGGCAUCAUUUGAAUCCUGCUUUCCAAUGCACAGGACAGACUGUAAGGCUGGAGAGCCAUGCCAAUAUGAAGACGAUCCAAACGUUCAUAUGUGAGGAAAAGAAUUAAUUAGCUACAUAAUCUUAGUUUCCCAUCUACCCCAUCUAUGGCCUGCUGGAACACAUGAAGGAACCUGAUCUGUAGACCCAAAGCUGCAGGAUCUCCACAACCCAGGGCAACAACAGGAUACCCAGGAGGGUUCGUAGUGAGUGCCCAGCAUCGACGGUGUAGUAGAAACUAGAGGACUGGAACCAGACCAAUGACACUUUGCAAUGAACACUUGUAAGUCAAGAUAAAUGGACAAAAGGGGUUUAUGGCAUGACUUACUGUGUCACACUGCAGCUUCCAUGACAAGAUUUUUAAUUUUUCACUUUUUAACUUUUUUCCUUUUUUUUCUCUUAAAUUUUGCUUUGUUUGGGGGAGGUGCAGGGGUGGAAGGCAGAUGUGAAGGGACUGGGAAAGGAAUGGGAUCAAGAUACAUGAUG